ACGCUCGACACCUACGGAGGCAGCAGUGGGGAAUAUUGCACAAUGGGGGAAACCCUGAUGCAGCGACGCCGCGUGAGUGAAGAAGUAUUUCGGUAUGUAAAGCUCUAUCAGCAGGGAAGAAGAUGACGGUACCUGAGUAAGAAGCCCCGGCUAACUACGUGCAGCAGCCGCGGUAAUCUGAGCGGGCUGGCAAGGC
rnacentral:rRNA from 1 species